GAAGGGUUACCACUUCGGGAUCUACCGCGGGCUGGGUGCCUCACCCACGAAGCACGGCGCCCGUGGCACACUGACCGGCUCCUGAGGGACGCACUUACGGAAGCGCUGCAAAGCCAAUUCCAUUUCUCCCGGACGGUCCGGUUUGCCAAGUUCCCACAGGAGCGCGGGCGCGCGCGGGGGGCGGAGUGGGGGCCGCCACCCGCGGCCUUGGGCCUCUGGCACAAUCUUCUAAGCUCCGCCCUCGGCGGCGUCUCCUAAAUACGUCCUUCCGCCCUCUUCCUCCUCUCUCUUUUUCGCCGCCAUCCUGCUCUGCGUGGCUGGCUGCUUCUCGCCAUGUCUUCUCACAAGACUUUCAGAAUCAAGCGAUUCCUGGCCAAGAAACAAAAGCAGAAUCGUCCCAUUCCCCAGUGGAUUCGGAUGAAAACUGGUAAUAAGAUCAGGUACAACUCCAAAAGGAGGCACUGGAGAAGAACCAAGCUGGGUCUGUAAGGCGUCACACGUCAUGAGAUGACACCCCUAAUUGGCAUACAUAUUUAAUUAAGCUGCGUGAAGAUCAUGUGUUCUGUCAUUCUGUAAACAUCCUUCCUACCUGGCCAUAGACUUGUCUUAUCAUGGAAAUGAUUUUUCUCUCUUGACUAUGCCCCUGCACCAGUAGGUUGGUUCAGUAAUAAAUGUGAGACCUCUCGGCUCUA